CAUAACUUCUGGCCCUGAAAUGUAAUCAUAGGCUUCAGACCCUUGCUCCACAUAGCCUGGGCAGGGAUAUGCAGCAAGUAACCCAGCUUUCAGCGGAACCAGCCCUGCCUCAGAUCUCCUUACUCAGAACCUGCAUUUUUUUAAGAUUACCAGGGGAUUUAUGUGCACCUUGAAGUAUGCUACCUGUGCCGCACCCACACCCUUUUCUGGAACAGCACUUUCGGGCCACUGCAGGCCCCAGGAUCUUCCCUCUGUGGAAGAAACCUGCUUUGGGAAACGACAGGAAGCAGCUUGGGUACUAGGUGCGUAAUAUUUGGUCGUGAAAUCAGGAGAAUAAUGGGAGAAUGGAAUAUUUUCAGUCACUGGCUCUCAGUGAGCAGUGAAAAAAACUAAUGCCCUUGUGAAAUGCAGGCAUUAGCUGUAUUUUUUGCCCUCCUCCCCUAGAACACAGUCCAGUAAAAAACGGGGGCUAUGACUUUCAGGUAGCAAGCGCGCUCACGUGGCCUAUACGUUGCACGGGGUGUUUUGCACCCGGCCCUUCACCACAGGCUUGGGACGCCACAGCUCCCCUCCAAUGGGGAACAGCCACAAUGGCUGCUGGGCCAAAUGGCACGUGGCGAGCCUGGCUGCCACCAUCGUCCAGCCAAUAAACAACAGGACUGGGAGCUAUUCUGCAAUGUAAGUGGCUCCCAGCUGGGCUUGCAUUCUCUGUCCUCAAAGGUGCAGGCUGGCUCAGGCUGGCACGGGGGGGCGGGGUGAGGAACCACCUUGUGGGAAGUAGGAGAGUUUAUGUCACCAGUGCGCAACCGUGAGCGGGCCGUGUGCAAUUCCGCUGGGGGAGUGGUGUCGUCUCCAGACAACCUCUUCCCGCCACAGCCUCGUGGCGCAGUCGGCACGGAGGCGGCAGCCGCCAUAGACGUGUGGUGGUUGCGCUGCGCGGGAACACCGGCUUGGAGGCACCUCCGGCAGAUCCAGGGAAGCAGGAACCAUCACGCCUGAGUCAGGAACUGCCUAAUUGGAUAGAGUUGAAGAGCAGAGCGACUCUGAAGUGACUGUGUUAUUGCAGCAUCUGCGCUGCCAGCAGGGCCAACCCAGAAAGGUGAGCAGCUGUGAGGUGGGCCCUGUUGGGAGGGUCUCUGGAACCCCUGCAAAGAGUGUGGAGAGGGGACUGCCUGCCAGCGUUCAC
rnacentral:lncRNA from 1 species